rnacentral:rRNA from 1 species
UACAUGGGGUGCAAACGUUGUUCGGAAUUACUGGGCGUAAAGCGCGUGUAGGCGGCUUCGCAAGUCGGAUGUGAAAUCCCACGGCUCAACCGUGGAAGUGCACUCGAAACUGGAUGGCUAGAGUCCUGGAGAGGAAGGUGGAAUGCUUGGUGUAGAGGUGAAAUUCGUAGAUAUCAGGAGGAACACCGAUGGCGAAGGCAGGUCUCUGGGCCACUACUGACGCUGAGAAGCGAAAGCAUGGGGAGCGAACAGG